rnacentral:lncRNA from 1 species
AGAGACGGACACCAGUUCAACCCCGGUGACACUCACCUGUCCAGCGUCACCGCGAUGUGACACACACACACACACACACACACUACAAGAACAUGACUGUGAGCUGCUGGGACCUCGGCUGCUCCUCAUAUGCUCUAACUUUCCUGUGGUGGGAAUGAAGGCGUGGUCAUGAGUUACAUCACUUCCUGCCUCAGGUGUGCAACAGGACACCCGUAAACAGGACACUGAAUCACAGCGGAAUUUUUCUCUUUCUUUCACACGAUAUCGGCAUUUCCUGGUGCUGUCACGUCCUCCCUUCACAGCGCUGAAGAUCUGCAUGUUUAUCUUGCCGCUGGGCGUGGUCCUGUCUUUUCAGAACGUUGAGGUCAACUGGAGGCGUGUCCACUGUCAUCACCCUCGGAAAAAAGCUUUAUAUUAGAUUCGAUUAGAUUACUAUCGCAGCCAUCGAUAGAUACUGAACCUUCUGGAACCGCGUUUGUGGGAGUGUCCAGUAUGUCACCACAGCGCUGGAGACCCUCCAGCAGCCUCGGCUGUUUAUAGUGGAAAGAAAGGGCUGAUGGGAAAUAUUUUCAUCACACAGUAAAUCUGCUGGUCUUUUUCUCUUCUUCGUAUGGUGGGUGUCCAUCUCUCCAGUCCCCCUCUCAGACUCCAUCACAGCCGCUGGGCUCAGAGUGGUCAAGUGGAAGUGCUUCCAUCCGUUACCGUUACUGUCCCUUCAAAUCCGGUUUGGCAUGCAGAUUGAAUCAGUCCCGCGUCCCAUCGCACGCCGUAGUACGCACGACGUGAGCCGGGAGUCACUCCGGCGGAUCCUCAUGAAUUUUUACCCGAUUUCUGCCGGGUCGAGGCCUGGAAAUCAUCUGGGGUCAUUUCCAGUGGACACUGAGGUCCCAGCAGAGUCAAUAUGGUCACAUAUUUAAUCGUUAAAUCCAUAUGUAAAAAAUAUGGCAAUGCGAUGAUAAAUAGUUAUGGCCCAUGUGACUGAUAUAGGUGUCACCAUACUCACCAUACUCACAAUAAUUCACGAAUGUUGACUGAAAAUAUUGUAACACUGACUAAUAGAAAAAAUAAAAAUGUACUACUUUAUCUGUCGUAUGCA